GAUGAACGCUGGCGGCGUGCCUAAUACAUGCAAGUCGAGCGAACGGACGAGAAGCUUGCUUCUCUGAUGUUAGCGGCGGACGGGUGAGUAACACGUGGAUAACCUACCUAUAAGACUGGGGUAACUUCGGGAAACCGGAUCUAAUACCGGAUAAUAUUUUGAACCGCAUGGUUCAACAGUGAAAGACGGUCUUGCUGUCACUUAUAGAUGGAUCCGCGCUGCAUUAGCUAGUUGGUAAGGUAACGGCUUACCAAGGCAACGAUGCAUAGCCGACCUGAGAGGGUGAUCGGCCACACUGGAAUUGAGACACGGUCCAGACUCCUACGGGAGGCAGCAGUAGGGAAUCUUCCGCAAUGGGCGAAAGCCUGACGGAGCAACGCCGCGUGAGUGAUGAAGGUCUUCGGAUCGUAAAACUCUGUUAUUAGGGAAGAAAAUAUGUGUAAGUAACUGUGCACAUCUUGACGGUACCUAAUCAGAAAGCCACGGCUAACUACGUG
rnacentral:rRNA from 1 species